UACGUAGGGUGCGAGCGUUGUCCGGAAUUAUUGGGCGUAAAGAGCUUGUAGGCGGUUUGUCGCGUCUGCCGUGAAAAUUCGAGGCUCAACCUCGAACUUGCGGUGGGUACGGGCAGACUAGAGUGUGGUAGGGGAGGACUGGAAGUUCCUGGUGUAGCGGUGAAAUGCGCAGAGUAUCAGGAGGAACACCGAUGGCGAAGGCAGGUCUCUGGGCCACUACUGACUGAGAAGCGAAAGCAUGGGGAGCAACAGG
rnacentral:rRNA from 1 species